GUGCUCAGGUCAGUGGCACAUAUACUAAAAUUGGAAUGACACAGAGAUAGGCACGGCCCCCGAGCAAGGAUGACACACAAAUUUGUGAAGGGUCUAUAUUUUUA